rnacentral:rRNA from 1 species
GACGAGCCGUACGAACGUUAUUCGGAAUUACUGGGCUUAAAGGGUGCGUAGGCGGCGCAGUAAGUUGGGUGUGAAAUCCCUCGGCUUAACCGAGGAAUUGCGCCCAAAACUACUGUGCUCGAGGGAGGUAGAGGUGAGCGGAACUUAGGGUGGAGCGGUGAAAUGCGUUGAUAUGUGGAGGAAUACCGAUGGCGAAGGCAGCCUCCUGGGCCAACACUGACGCUCAUGCACGAAAGCGUGGGGAGCAAACAGG